GACGAACGCUGGCGGCGUGCUUAACACAUGCAAGUCGAACGGAAAGGCCCUGCUUUUGUGGGGUGCUCGAGUGGCGAACGGGUGAGUAUCACGUGAGUAACCUGCCCUUGUCUUUGGGAUAACUUCAGGAAACUGGGGCUAAUAUCGGAUAGGAGCUCCUGCUGCAUGGUGGGGGUUGGAAAGUUUCGGCGGUUGGGGAUGGACUCGCGGCUUAUCAGCUUGUUGGUGGGGUAGUGGCUUACCAAGGCUUUGACGGGUAGCCGGCCUGAGAGGGUGACCGGCCACAUUGGGACUGAGAUACGGCCCAGACUCCUACGGGAGGCAGCAGUGGGGAAUAUUGCACACUGGGCGGAAGCCUGAUGCAGCAACGCCGCGUGCGGGAUGACGGCCUUCGGGGUGUAAACCGCUUUAGCCUGUGACGAAGCGUGAGUGACGGUAAUGGGUAAAGAAGCACCGGCUAACUACGUG
rnacentral:rRNA from 1 species